UACGUAGGGUGCAAGCGUUAAUCGGAAUUACUGGGCGUAAAGCGUGCGCAGGCGGUUAUGUAAGACAGGUGUGAAAUCCCCGGGCUUAACCUGGGAACUGCAUUUGUGACUGCAUAGCUAGAGUACGGCAGAGGGGGAUGGAAUUCCGCGUGUAGCAGUGAAAUGCGUAGAUAUGCGGAGGAACACCGAUGGCGGAAGGCAAUCCCCUGGGCCUGUACUGACGCUCCAUGCACGAAAGCGUGGGGAGCAAACAGG
rnacentral:rRNA from 1 species